rnacentral:sRNA from 1 species
GAUGGGUGUGGUGGUGCAUGCCUGUAAUCCCAGUGGCUAGGGAGGCUGAGGUGGGAGGAUCAUGAGUUCAAAGCCAGCCCCAGCAAUGGCAAGGCACUAAGCAAUUCAGUGAGACCCUGUCUCUA